UACAGAGGAGCCAAGCGUUGUCCGGAAUUAUUGGGCGUAAAGCGCGUGUAGGCGGCCAGAUAAGUCCGCUGUGAAAUCUCGAGGCUCAACUUCGAGCUGUCGGUGGAAACUGUCUGGCUAGAGUCCGGAAGAGGAGAAUGGAAUUCCUGGUGUAGCGGUGAAAUGCGCAGAUAUCAGGAAGAACACCCGUGGCGAAGGCGGUUCUCUGGGACGGUACUGACGCUGAGACGCGAAAGCGUGGGGAGCGAACAGG
rnacentral:rRNA from 1 species